UCUUCCUGUACAAAUUAAUAUUCGUAUGAAUAUCAAAGUUCAAGAGGAACACUUUCUCCAAACAUUUUUCCACCGAAUCAAACGUUACGACUCUCUCAACUUUUCCACGUAGAUUUUACGACGUAUCCGAGCUUUAUCCGUUGAAACGUAUCUCUCAAACGAUCAUAGAUCGUUUACCGUGUUUCCAAUAACGUGGCUCGUGGAUCGUCUGUAAUUCCACCCACGUGCUGCGUCACGUCCUGCGGUCCAUUCAUCAAACAGCGCGAGUACUUAAGUUUCGCUCGUAACCAAGGAAAGAUGGAUCGCGUUUGCAUCCCUCGAAUGUGGAAACGAUCUUAUAUGAAUACGUAUACGUACAUGCGCACCCCUUUAUUCCAUAUAAGACGAACCUACUAGCCUUAUGGACGAGAAAGAAAGGUCGAGAUAGCAACUCGAUAUAAAACUCGAUCCGACCCGCCAUUUAUUUAUCCCCACUCCUCGCUCUUGUAUCUCGCGUUGUACAGGGUGAUUCUGAGGAAAUGGAAGGAUUGAAUUAUCGUUCGAGGUUUAUGGGAAUACGUGGAAGAAAUGUUUGAUGAAUGAACCGGGUGUGUUUCAGACGAGAAUUGAAUAUUGUAUAAGAAGAAAUUCGAAUAAUUCUCAUUAAUAUAAUCCAAUUCUUUACACGAAAUAUAAUUCUUAAUAUUCAAAUAAUCUAUAUUUAUUGCUUCUUCGAGAUUAUGCGUUGUAACAGAGUUAUUUAUUCCACAGAUAAUUCCUUCGAACGAUUUGAAAUUUAUGGGAUACCUGGAAGAAACGUUUAUUCCAUUUAAGUGAACCCGUUUAAGAAUUUAUAGAUAUUUCUAUUAUAAAGAAUCUUCGUUUAAAAUUGCUUGCCAACAAAAAUUGAACGAUCCUGUAUAUAUCGUUAUAAUGAUAUCUGACUGCACGAUUCUUGAUUCACGAGUUCCUGCCGCCAUAUUGUCACCGAGGAUUGAGGAGCCACUGUUCCCUCUACAGAGACACACAUACAUACGUGAUCGAAGCCAUUUACAUUACACAAAGUUUCUCGCAAGAGGCCUAUAAUUGUCGUUGAAACGAGAGAUUUUUCCUUCGAUUGCGAAAUAAAAAAAUUCUUAAGAUAAUUAGAACGAGUAGAAAGUCCAUGAUCUCGAUAUAGCGAAUCGAAGAAUGGUAUAGGUUUCUCACUGCGAUCGUUUCAUUUGUAACGCCCUCGGUUCACGCUUAAUUGCGUUUCGAGAAUGAAGCGUUCAAUUUGCAUAUGUCGCGAUCUCGAGUACGCGCACCGAGCACAGUUAGACGUUGCACGCGAAUAGAAAGUGAUAAUUUAUGGUGAUUGACCGUUUAGACUUUGAGGAAGAAAGUUAUUAGUUGCGUUUGCUUAUCUGGUGAAACACGAUCGCCCGACGUUUCGAAGUUGUAAGGGGAAAGCGAAAUAAAGUGUCCGAUCAUGUUUGUUCGUGCAUUUUAGAUGUUUAGAAAAAUUUUCGAAAUUUUUUUAACGAAAACACACUGUGUCUAAUUUUAUCUGAUUUUUUUUUAAAUGAAUAAAUCGAAGUAUGUGGAUAAUUUAAAUUUUAUAAGAAUAGAAGUUAACCGUGAGAGAUUUUUCUCACCUUCUCUGACGACUAUGCAAAUUACUUGGAUGGAUUAUCUAGAAGAUAAAUAUUUUCUGUUGUCGCAAUGUAAAUCGAGAUUUCGAAAUAUCGAUCGAUAUUAGUAUCUCGAUUGAUCGAAAUUUAUUUAUAAAUUAUGAAAAACUAAAGGAAUUAAUUAUUCAAAAUAUGAAAAUCAUAUUGGUUUAAUCUUUAUUCGAAAUUUAAUCCUUGCAUAAUUUAAUGCAAAAUUACGAUAAAAUACAUGAAAUACCGCAUCGAUUAAUGCCACGUUUAGUACUAUCGAUAUCUCGACUACGAUCGAAUCGUCGUGUCAACAAUGGCGCAUAUAAAUCUCAGGUGAACGAUAGAGGGACACUGAUGCAACGCGGGAUUGAAACGAGCGUAUUGUUUCGACGAGGAACGCGCGCGCGCGUAACAUCGAUGCCCGACGAUAGAAACAAAAGUAGAAGGCGGAGGCAGUCGGCGGCGACGUGUGUACGAGGAAAGCCGACCACAUGAAUGAACCUUCCAUUCAUGCGUGCCUCUAACCCCUUCCUACAACCCCCGUCGCACCGUCUAUGGGAUCUUGUCGGCUACCAACGACACGACUAUGCGACACACACACACAACACGCAUACAUACAAACGUUGAGACACAAAGAUGAAAAGAGAGAAAGAGAGAGAGAAAGAGUGCACAUGCGCACAAAACGAAGCGCCGCGACACACGUGACCGCCAUUGUUGAUCGCAAGGAAGAACCGGCAGCGCCAACCAGCCGCGUUAUUCCUGGCUUUUUUGCCAGAAUCAGGACACUGAUAGCAUACUCGUUCUCCCGUCUUUCUAAGUGGUACCCUCGAGAGGUAUAAUACCGGGACGAAGGCUCAUUCAUUCGUUCGGUCACGUAACCGAGAUUAGGAGUGUUUGGCGCCGAUGUUUUUAACGGCUAAUGGCGGUAUAUUCCUCGAUCUUUCGACGAAUGGAACACUUUCGAGAAUCUUCGAUCUGAAGUAGUGAAUUACAGAACAGAUAGAGGUUGCUUUUUGUAAAGUUCAGACGAGUUCUUAAUUUGGAUAUAGAGAAAAUUGGAAUACAUGGGAAAAACAAGUUUAUUUCAUCGUUGGAUAUAGUGUUCAAGUUUUGAACGAUGAUAUGAAUUCAUCAGAUCAAAUAAAAUAACCAGAAUUAAAACGAGAAUCAUGACAACUUGUACAAGGAAGCAUUACGACUGCCAUGUCUUCAUCCAUAAACCCUUAUUUUCAACUCGAUUUUAUUUCUCUUAUAUUCGGACACCGAACUGUGUAAAUUCAAGAAAGCAAGAACAAAACGCCAUGUGUAAACAUAGAUAUCAGUAAUGUACCUAGUAGUUCAAGAAAUUAUUCAAACGUUAAAAAAUAUUUCUAUGCAAAAACAUAAAAAGAAAAUGCUAAAAAUUUGAGAAUGAAUUUUAAAUUUCCACCAAUAAUAUAUAUACAUACAAAUCAUUAAAAUCAUUAUUUGAGUUAAUCAAAUUUCUCGGGCUUAACGAGUAUCAACGUCGACCAGUUCCCAAGAAGUCGAGGCAGAAAAGUGUACGACUGUUGUCUCAUUCAUCGGCGACGAGGAAGAAGACCCUUGUCCCAUUCAUCGUAGUCCCGUCACGCUUGACGGGGACCUAGGUUAGCUGGAUUUUAAGCGCGGCAAGAGCGCAAGAAGGCACCAAUGGGGACCGUUCGAGUCCCGAUGGGAGAUGAAGAACACGUUUCUUCUUCCUCGUCAAAAGAGUAACAAGAAUGUCAUAAGCGGCCGGACGAAGAAGACACGGUGAAUUGGUUGUCUGUGUAACGAGACCCCGACCACAAUUACAGUACUAAUGGAACCCGCUACUUUAUAUGACCUGGAGAAACGAUAUUAUGUUGUGAUCGAUUAUUCUUGAGGCAAUUCACGCAAGUUAGGUUCUGUGAAAACAACGAAUAUGGUUAUUUGAGUUUUUAAAAUUAAAUUUCACGGAUUUAUGGACUUUACUUUAUAAACUGCGCUGAGAUUAUAAUUUUAAUUUUUUUAAUUAAUAAAUAUAUGUAUCAAGGA